rnacentral:rRNA from 1 species
AACGCUGGCGGCGUGCCUAACACAUGCAAGUCGAACGGGGAUAUGACGCUGAAGAUCGAAGUGCUUGCACAGAGAGAUUCUUGUUGUAUCUUAGUGGCGGACGGGUGAGUAACGCGUGGAAAACCUGCCUCAUGGAGGGGGAUAGCGGCUGGAAACGGCCGGUAAUACCGCAUAAGCGCACGGGGAGACAUCUCCCGGUGUGAAAAGAUUUUAUCGCCAUGAGAUGGUUCCGCGUCUGAUUAGCCGGUUGGCGGGGUAACGGCCCACCAAAGCGACGAUCAGUAGCCGGACUGAGAGGUCGGACGGCCACAUUGGGACUGAGACACGGCCCAGACUCCUACGGGAGGCAGCAGUGGGGGAUAUUGCACAAUGGAGGGAACUCUGAUGCAGCGACGCCGCGUGGGUGAAGAAGUUAUUCGUAAUGUAAAGCCCUAUCAGCAGGGAAGAUAAUGACGGUACCUGACUAAGAAGCCCCGGCUAACUACGUGCC